UUGGGAAGUGGGGGGCCAGGCCCCCAAGGAAAAGGACAUUUUGCCCUCAAAUGCCUUCCCUGGCUCUACCUAAGACCCCAAGGAGCACUCUGUCCAGCCUUCCAGACUCAGGAGAGACCCUGAGGCCCAAGGGGCUGGGACAUGAGGUUCUUCAGAGCUGAGAAAACUUUCUUUGCCACCCUCUCCUGUCUUGCAGCUGAAGAAAAAAGGACCUAGAGAGGGCCUCAAACCUUGCCAGGCCCCUCAAGAGCUCCUAAGGAUCAACCAUUGUCUGGGGAGAGACAGAUGCCGGGUGACCUAAGACCUUCAGAUGACCCAAGACCUUCAGAUGACCCAGCCAACUCAGGGGUCAACCAUUCAAUCUAGUCCAAGCCUGAAUUCUUGGGGUCUGGGUCUGCAGGGUGUCCAGAACCCUGGAGUGGGACGACUGAGGCUUGGGGGUGCCCCUGCAUGGGCUGCUAAGCCAGGAGGCGUGAAGAAGGGUUCCUACCUCCCAAGUCACAGAGGGAGAGAAACUGAGGCACAGAAAGACCUGCUUCU